GGCGUCCCAGAGGCGCGGUGAUAGCAGAGCUUGCGGUCUGGAGGUGUUCAGGAUGCUCAUUUUAUUAUACUCGUUUGUAGACGUGGCCUGGUUUUGGAAGAACAUUGGCUUUGUGUCCCAAUAUGCGGCAAUGGACUUCGCAGGAGCCAACUAUUUUAUUUAGCCAGAGUUGCCCAGCUGGGACCGAUCACUGCUACAGGACUCCAGGGCUGGUUACAUGGUCAGCAAGGCCCAGUGCAAAAUGAAAAUACAGGAACCCUCAUUCAAAAAGUCCAAAAGAAGUGUCUGCAGCCAACACACAGAUGAAACAGUUAAAAAUGAAGAAAAAAAAGAAGAAGGAGAAGGAAAAGGAGGAGAAGGAGGAAGUAUGGGAAGAGGGGUGGGAAGAAAAGAAUCAUCUUUG